UGACCAAGGAAGCCACGUCGGUACUCGG
rnacentral:piRNA from 1 species